ensembl:lncRNA
UAUUUUUAAGAUAUCCUUAAUAUUUUUUGGUAAAUUUCAAUCAAAAUAUUUGAGAAUGGGGUAAUUAUACUGAUCAGUUUCAAGAACUACAAUUAUUGCUCAUUCCAUAUCAAUAUUCUUCAUCUUUAACAACAACUUAAGAAAUUUAGUAAGUGGACACAAUGAACAAUCACACAUAAAGAGAGGGAAAUCUGCUUUUCUCUCUCUGUAACAUGGCAACAAGCAAGGAAACACCAUGGGGAGAACCACCUAGAAGACUCCUUACAAAUCCUGGUACACCAUGCUGUCAUAUCCCCGAUAGAUAAGAGACAUCCGACCAACUGCCACUUCACACAGCGGUAAAGGGAAGAACUCCUCAACAGUCACAUCACAGCACAUCAGCGCAUUUUGUGACAGUGGACUUGUCACAAAAUGCCAUGUUAAAAUUCAGAACCUUUGUUGUAGUUUAUAGGUACCAUAAGAGUUACAGUGACAGGGAAUACUCCUGUGACAAGAUGUGAUACUG